AGAGUUGAUCCUGGCUUAGGAUGAACGCUAGCUACAGGCUUAACACAUGCAAGUCGAGGGGCAGCAUUGGGGUAGCAAUACUCAGAUGGCGACCGGCGCACGGGGUGAGUAACACGUAUCCAACCUGCCGCUUACUCGGGGAUAGCCUUUCGAAAGAAAGAUUAAUACCCGAUGGUAUAAAGAGUUCGCAUGUUCUCUUUAUUAAAGAAUUUCGGUAAGCGAUGGGGAUGCGUUCCAUUAGAUAGUUGCGGGGUAACGGCCCACCAAGUCUACGAUGGAUAGGGGUUCUGAGAGGAAGGUCCCCCACAUUGGAACUGAGACACGGUCCAAACUCCUACGGGAGGCAGCAGUGAGGAAUAUUGGUCAAUGGACGAGAGUCUGAACCAGCCAAAGUAGCGUGAAGGAUGACUGCCCUAUGGGUUGUAAACUUCUUUAUAAGGGAAUAAAGUGGAGGGACGUGUCCCUUUUGUAUGUACCUUAUGAAUAAGGAUCGGCUAACUCCGUGCCAGCCGCCGC
rnacentral:rRNA from 1 species